CCCUCACCCCCCGCCCACCCCAGGACUCCCUAUCCUCUGGCUGCUUUAUUUUCCUUCAGAACACUUAAAACUGCCAAUGUAUUAUGUAACUUAUUUGUUUUCCCCCUCUGCAAUUCCUCUACUCCCCCAUAAUAUUUAAGAAUUUUGUGCGUGUCUCUGAUUUUUAGAACAAUGUCUAGAAUACAGUAGGCUUUUGAAAAUGCUUGGUGAAUAAAUGAAUUAGUGUGGAAUGACUGACUGGGCCAUUCCACCUCCACCACCACUUCAGACUUGCUAGGGGGGUAAAAGAAGACACUGCAGUCCCAGGAAGAGGGUGGGCUACAGUGGAAACUCAGCACUUUGUCGCUUAAACCCUGAGGCCUUUUCAUCUCAUUCUUUAUCAUGAAAACACAUCUCUCCCCUUCCAGCGCAGUCUGUUCAAAAUCAGUAAAAUAGAGCCUGUCUCUUGCUCUCUGUAAAAGCCUCAUUGCUUUGCCGUGUCUCCCUUGAGGCAGGACAGGUCUGCACCCUUGGUUGAGGCUGGAAAUUCAGCAGACCAGGGAUGUUUUCCUGUUUCAGUUGGAGCAGGGAGCAGAGGUGUCUGCCCUUGGGCAGGGGCCAUCGGAGCUGCUGUGUCUGAACGGGAGGGCUCUGGAGAAGAUGGCUCGGGAAAGGCAGCAGAGGCGGCUGCUCACAGUCCUCACAGGACAGCUCAGGAAGAGAGGGGCCGGCAGGUGAGACAGAGGGACGCCGAGGUAUCUCCCUCAGAGAGGCCCGGCUUCUUCGUGGUUCACUCUGUUACUGGUGGCAUUGGAUUUGCAUCAACAUAGUCUCGAGGAUGGUCUUCUGAAAGUACUUAGGGUGUCUUGGGUCCUGGAAGAUGGGUGACAUAUGAAUCUAUUUUUUUCCUGUGGUUAUUGACCCUUUCAGCACAGCCUCUGUGGCUUUCAAAGUUUUUGCCUUGGUUUCAGUUUUGGGAAGGGCUGGAGCUUCCUUCUUGCUUUAAGCACCAUAGAAGGGAGUGUCUGAGAGUAUCUGAGGGCCUGGUGUAGCAGUGCCAUCAGGAGCUGGUCUUCAGUGGAGACAAUAUAUUGGUAAAGGCUGAAGGGUCUUGCAUGGAAACAGGAGAGGAAAGGAGAAGACUUCACGAUACUGUCUGAGACCCUGUUCCCCUGGCCCAGUCCUGCACCUAAGGCAGUAGAAGGGAGUCUGCAGCGGAAACAGAAGUUGCCAUUUUCCUGGAGCCUCCAUGAAGAGGAGGAAAAAGCAUCCUCAAAGACAAACUGCAUCACUUCACAGCCAUGGUCAAUAAGGCACCGUGCUCCACUGGCUUCAAUUCGUUGACAGUGGAGGGAUGUGUGGGAGAGCAUGAGAAGGCACUGCACAAGCUCCUGUGAGACUUUGCAGGUGUCUCCAAAAUACAUCUAUGAAAGACCUUGGGAAAGAAAGGGGCUGGGGAGGCUGCAAGUGCAGGUGGAGCCCCAGCCAGUGAACCCCAGAUGAUCGCAGGGAAUGCUGCUCCACUGGUGCCGCCAGCUUGUGAGCACUGGGGAUCUCCAAGAGGCAUGUCACAUUAGGGUCCUCUCUCUGUUUCACAUUUAAAGACCAAAUGAGGCCCAGUGGCCACUCCAGGGAAGAAGCCAAUUCAUGAAUUUCUUUUUAGUCUACACUAGAUAAGUUCAUUAAAUGGCCACUUGUUCUACUUGUAGGCUGUGCUUCGAUCCCUACCGUUAAUUGUAAUGAAUAAGUUAUAAAGGUUGAACUCCACAAUUCUGAUAGUUUAUCCCAGGGAACCAAGUCACAGACAACACUUAGAUUUGUAGACUCUUGCAAGUUAGACCAACAGGUCUCCUUGCUCCUAUCCAGGGUCCUUCUAAUGGCUCUUUGCCUGGACUUUGUCAGCACUGGAAUCUUUGCCCCAUCUCCUUGUCUGUUCCAAAUUGCACCAGUAGUAUGCUCCAUCUAGAGUGAUUUUCUGGCCAGACAUCCACCUACCAACUUCUUACCAAAGCCUGAGUUCUAGUGUAUGAUUCAAGAAGCUGACGAAGAGGCCCAGAGGCUGGUCAAGGCUCGGUCAUCCUGCCUGAUGCCCAGUUCCCCCCUAGACUCUUGCCCUAAUUCCUGGAAUCCACCUGGAAUCCUUGGCAGAUCUCCUGUGAUGUGCAUCAGGUUUCUCUGAUAGAGAAUUGCAGGCUGCUGGUGCCUUCAGGAACAGCCAGUCACAUCAGGCAUCAACGUAAGCACACACUGAACAUUUAAACUUUGAGGACCAAAUUACAAAUAAAAGAAUAAUUAGCACAUUUCUAAUUGCUCUUUCCUACUGUGAACAACAGGCACAGACAUAAAAUGCUCGUACCAAACACGUAAGCCUCACUCUGAAACAGGAGAGGGGAGGCUUCUCCCUCCAGGAACUAGCAGAGCACCCUACGUUUAUAAAUCAAGUCAGGAAAAAAGGAAAGAGCUGUGACUAAAUCCGACUUAACAUUUCCAGCAUGUCUCUCUUUGUGGUUAUUGUCUUAUCAAAGAUUUAGAUCUGUCUCAUAAGUAUCUUUAAAUCCUUGGUCUCUUGUGAGGCCUAAAGCCAGGAAUUGACAUUCUUUAAUGUAAAUAGGAAAUAUUACAGAAUGAGUUGAGGUCGGUUUUGAAAAAAAUUGCUUUCUCGACUUUUAACCCUGCAGUCUUGCUGACGAUUUAAUUCUACUUGCAGUUGCUCAGGAGCAAGCCUGUGAUUUCUUCACUAUGACACUGGGAUUUAAACACAAACCAUCCACCACUCAGAAGAGCGGCUCAGGUCGGGUCUGCCAAUGACAAGCCACAAAGCAGACCUCAGAGUUACUAGGGGGAUGGAAGAUGGGUCAGUGACAGUCACAUGGAUGAGAGGAGUCCCUGGGGAGCCUGAAAAUGAAACCUAUUCACAACUCUAGUUUCUCGGUCUUUCCCAGGGAAAGCGUUAAUAAUGGGUAUCGGGUUCCCGGGCCAGUCCCUAGGCACAUAUUAAACCCACGAUGUCUUCAGGCUAGUUGUGCUGUGGCUC
ensembl:lncRNA